UAAUUAGAGGACUUUCAGUUGUAAUCAGUCUUUUGAAGAAAUGGUUGCAACGUGUCUGGUGAAAGAUCAAACCAAGAGGCCAACAGCUGAGAAACUUCAUUGAAAUAUUUGAGCAGAAUCACGAUACAGUUGAGGCACAAUAAAUAUUUCAAUCCUUGAAAAUAGCUCAUGAUGGUUGGCUUGGCGAGCUAUUCUAUAAGGGAAGUCUGUCGCUGAACUUAUGAUUUCUAUCACUAAGACACAAACAAAAGUGGAACUCAUCCUUUAAGAAUGAUUGAAGUAAUAUCGGGUUGAAAACUAAGCGAUUGUGUAGAUAGCCAGGCGAUCGUUGAAGGUUGAAGGUUGAAUAUUGAGAAGGCAUUUACGAUUUUUCUUAUUUACGUCUUGUAUUAGGAUCUUUUUGAUGUACUGUUGUAGAAUGUAUAU